rnacentral:rRNA from 1 species
AAUCAGGAAUAGUCGGCAAUGGGCGCAAGCCUGACCGCGCGACACCGCGUGUGGGAAUAAGCUCUAAUCGAGCGUAAACCACUGUGGUAAGGGAAGAAGACCUCCGAUUCGGAGGUUUGACGGUACCUUACUAGAAAGGGGCCGCUAACUGCGUGCCAGAAGCGUCGGUAAUACGUGGGCCUCAAACAUUAUCCGGUUUUACUGGGCUUAAAGGGUCGUGUAGGCGUUCCGAUGAGUCUUGGUUUAAAUACUACGGCUCAACCGUAGAAAAGGUCAAGAUACUAUCGGGAUCGAGUUACUUUUAGGGAAACUGGAACUCAGGGAGGAGUAGUGAAAUGCGUUGAUACCCUGGGGAACACCAGUGGCGAAGGCGAGUUUCUGAAAGGUAACUGACGCUGAGACACGAAAGCUAGGGUAGCGAAGCAGAUUAGAGACCUGCGUAGUCCUAGCUGUAAACGAAUGCUUGCUAGCUGCAU